rnacentral:piRNA from 1 species
UGGCCAGACUUGAGCUUUUAAGACUUCAAA